AGGCUUGUUUCUCUAACAUUCGCAGUGGCCGCCUAAGAGCUUUCGCCUUCGCCGGGCUUGAGAGCUUGUGCUGCUCUAAUCCUUCCUUGGAUGUCUGAAACCUAUAUGUUUCAUUUAUCACUCUUUUUGGGCAUCUACAAUGUGUAUUGAGUUGCAUAUAAUUCUCUUUAUUUCUAAUUGAGUGCUGCUUGUCUAAUGCUGUUGUUUGAGCUCACUUGAUAACGAUGCAUCUACGUGUUUUAUCUUCCAAGAAAUGUUUGAAGGAAUUUGGAAGGUUGAUUUCUCUUUAACCUUUGCUAUUUUUGUGUCUUGUUGGAUGUAAUUGUUUCUCAGACAUUAGAAUAGUUCUUUGUAUUUGAAUAUGAUUUUCUAAUCUUUUUUUAAUAUGGGAACACAUUUUCUAGAAUAUUUGUGAGCACAUAUUAUUAAUUUUUUUUCCUGUGCUUUUCACAAAAGAAAUUUGUGUAUAAGCUAUUCAACAAAAUGGGAAGUUGGGAUUUAUUUGCUGUGCUUUAGCAUUUACUUCCUGUUAUAUGUUGAUGAUGAUAAAUCCAA
rnacentral:misc_RNA from 1 species